GCGUAUUGUACUGAUUUUUCUUUAUUUUUCUUCGGUCUUGAAAACCGGCGACCCGAAAGGGUUCCAGAGUUCGAAUCUCUGCGCUUCCGCCA
rnacentral:tRNA from 1 species